ensembl:snoRNA Gm24341 predicted gene, 24341
GCUGCCCCUAGAGGCAUCGCAUGUGUGGCUGCUGUGCCACAUGUGCAUCCGUAGGUGACAGAGAAGCUAUGUCUGUGAACAGUGAUCUUACCUAUGGACAGCUGAGUGAAUAGUACUGUAACAUU